GGGGGCGACACGGCUUCGACGUGGGCGUCAAAACCCGAGGUGCAUGCCGAGGAACAGAAUACCUCGUAAAUCCAUCUGUAAAACCAAUAGUUGCCAACGACGACAACUACGCUUUAGCCGCUUAAAAACCGGUGUAAAGCCUU
rnacentral:tmRNA from 1 species